AGUGAACGCUGGCGGUAGGCCUAGCACAUGCAAGUCGAACGGCAGCACAGUAAGAGCUUGCUCUUACGGGUGCGAGUGGCGGACGGGUGAGGAAUACAUCGGAAUCUACUUUUUCGUGGGGGAUAACGUAGGGAAACUUACGCUAAUACCGCAUACGACCUACGGGUGAAAGCAGGGGAUCUUCGGACCUUGCGCGAUUGAAUGAGCCGAUGUCGGAUUAGCUAGUUGGCGGGGUAAAGGCCCACCAAGGCGACGAUCCGUAGCUGGUCUGAGAGGACGAUCAGCCACACUGGAACUGAGACACGGUCCAGACUCCUACGGGAGGCAGCAGUGGGGAAUAUUGGACAAUGGGCGCAAGCCUGAUCCAGCCAUACCGCGUGGGUGAAGAAGGCCUUCGGGUUGUAAAGCCCUUUUGUUGGGAAAGAAAAGCAGCAGGUUAAUACCCCGCUGUUCUGACGGUACCCAAAGAAUAAGCACCGGCUAACUUCGUG
rnacentral:rRNA from 1 species